GGGGAAUUUUCCGCAAUGGGCGAAAGCCUGACGGAGCAAUACCGCGUGAGGGAGGAAGGCUCUUGGGUUGUAAACCUCUUUUCUCAGGGAAUAAGAACUGAAGGUACCUGAGGAAUCAGCAUCGGCUAACUCCGUGCCAGCAGCCGCGGUAAUACGGAGGAUGCAAGCGUUAUCCGGAAUGAUUGGGCGUAAAGCGUCCGCAGGUGGUUUAUCAAGUCUGCUGUCAAAGAGUUUGGCUCAACCAAAUAAAGGCAGUGGAAACUGACAGACUGGAGUGCGGUAAGGGCAGAGGGAAUUCCUGGUGUAGCGGUGAAAUGCGUAGAUAUUGGGAAGAACACCGGUGGCGAAAGCGCUCUGCUGGGCCGUAACUGACACUGAGGGACGAAAGCUAGGGGAGCGAAUGGGAUUAGAUACCCCAGNUAGUC
rnacentral:rRNA from 1 species